rnacentral:rRNA from 1 species
UAAGUCUGUAGUGAAAGCGUUCGGCUCAACCGAAUAAACAUUAUAGAAACUGCAAAGCUAGAGGAUGAGAGAGGUUAUUGGAAUUCCCAGUGUAGGAGUGAAAUCCGUAGAUAUUGGGAGGAACACCGAUGGCGUAGGCAGAUAACUGGCUCAUUCCUGACACUAAGGCACGAAAGCGUGGGGAGCGAACGGGAUUAGAUACCCCGGUAGUCCACGCCGUAAACGAUGGAUGCUA